rnacentral:rRNA from 1 species
CCUACGGGUGGCAGCAGUGGGGAAUAUUGGACAAUGGGGGGAACCCUGAUCCAGCCAUGCCACGUGUGUGAAGAAGGCCCUCGGGUUGUAAAGCACUUUCAGUGAGGAAGAACGCCUGGUGGUUAAUACCCAUCAGGAAAGACAUCACUCACAGAAGAAGCACCGGCUAACUCCGUGCCAGCAGCCGCGGUAAUACGGAGGGUGCGAGCGUUAAUCGGAAUUACUGGGCGUAAAGCGCGCGUAGGUGGCUUGAUAAGCCGGUUGUGAAAGCCCCGGGCUCAACCUGGGAACGGCAUCCGGAACUGUCAAGCUAGAGUGCAGGAGAGGAAGGUAGAAUUCCCGGUGUAGCGGUGAAAUGCGUAGAGAUCGGGAGGAAUACCAGUGGCGAAGGCGGCCUUCUGGACUGACACUGACACUGAGGUGCGAAAGCGUGGGUAGCAAACAGGAUUAGAUACCCCUGUAGUC